UUGCUCAGGUUAAAGAAUGGAAUAAAGUCUAGCAUCAAAUGUAUAGCUAACUAUUUUAAUUUGUGAUCAGAGCAACUGAUCUCCGUUCAAUUUUUAUCAUCAAAAGUUAGUUCUACCUUCGCAGGACCUCUGCUCUACAUACCUCCUCUCUGGUUAAAGAAUGGAAUAUAAGUCUCAUUUAUCAAGUUGGUGUAAAAAUUUAGCUUGAUAAAUUAAGAAGUUGUAAACUUUAUUAUCACAAUUGCCAAGUUGACCAAAUGUUCUUCUGGUUUUAAAUGGAUUAUGUAUGAGUCUAGUAUCAUCUGGGUGUUCAAAGAUAGUUUACUGCUUGAAGAACUUAUCAAUGGACCAAGUAAUUAUAAAACAGUUUUUAAUGAAAAUAAAAACGAAUUAUCAAAAAAUUUAAAUCAGCUAUUUGUGUAUAUUUAAACACUCUAUUUUUUGUGAGAAGAGAUUAUUGAUACAAGUA
rnacentral:lncRNA from 1 species